GACGAACGCUGGCGGCGUGCUUAACACAUGCAAGUCGAACGGAAAGGCCUGCUUUCCCUUGUGGAUUGCGGGUACUCGAGUGGCGAACGGGUGAGUAACACGUGAGUGAUCUGCCCCCAACUUGGGUAUAAGCCUGGGAAACUGGGUCUAAUUCCCGAUAGGACUGCAGGGUGGUGCCUGUGGUGGAAAACGAUUUUCUAGUGGUUGGGGAUGAGCUCGCGGCCUAUCAGCUUGUUGGUGGGGUAAUGGCCUACCAAGGCGGCGACGGGUAGCCGGCCUGAGAGGGUGGACGGCCACAUUGGGACUGAGAUACGGCCCAGACGACUACGGGAGGCAGCAGUGGGGAAUAUUGCACAAUGGGCGGAAGCCUGAUGCAGCGACGCAGCGUGGGGGAUGACGGCCGUCGGGUUGUAAACUCCUUUCGACCGCGAGGAAGCCACCUGGUUGGAAGGGUGGUGACGGUAGUGGUAGAAGAAGCACCGGCUAACUACGUG
rnacentral:rRNA from 1 species